UGGGGAAUUUUGGACAAUGGGCGAAAGCCUGAUCCAGCAAUGCCGCGUGUGUGAAGAAGGCCCUUCGGGUUGUAAAGCACUUUUGUCCGGAAAGAAAUCCUUGGCUCUAAUACAGUCGGGGGAUGACGGUACCGGAAGAAUAAGCACCGGCUAACUACGUGCCAGCAGCCGCGGUAAUACGUAGGGUGCAAGCGUUAAUCGGAAUUACUGGGCGUAAAGCGUGCGCAGGCGGUUUGCUAAGACCGAUGUGAAAUCCCCGGGCUCAACCUGGGAACUGCAUUGGUGACUGGCAGGCUAGAGUAUGGCAGUAGGGGGGUAGAAUUCCACGUGUAGCAGUGAAAUGCGUAGAGAUGUGGAGGAAUACCGAUGGCGAAGGCAGCCCCCUGGGCCAAUACUGACGCUCAUGCACGAAAGCGUGGGGAGCAAACAGGAUUAGAUACCCUGGUAGGUCCACGCCCUAAACGAUGUCAACUAGUUGCUUGGGGGACUUCAUUUUCCUUAGUAACGUACUAACGCGUGGAAGUUGAUCCGCCUGGGGAGUACGGUCGCAAGAUU
rnacentral:rRNA from 1 species